UACCUACCUAACGAAACAAGCUAUGGAAAGAUCCAAGCAACAAAUUGAACAAACCAAUAAAAAAAAUAAAAUUAAUUAAUCUUGAUCAACACCCUCGUAAGCCCAAGCGUUCUCCUCGCGAAGUCUAGCUUCCUCUUGUGGCGUAAAAUCAUUCUCAAACCCCAAAUAGCGAUGAACAUAUUCCACGCUCUUGUUACUAAUAUGAUCAGCAAUGGCCUGACUAAGCAAAUCCAACAAAUACUUAAUUAACCGCCAAAAUCAAUUCUUUUAUGUCUUCAGCUUGUUUCUUCACAAAUUCUGCAUUAUAAGCUUUGAGAUCGGUUGGAUUAGAUUUCAACUUCAAGUAAUCCUCGAUGUAAGUUAUUAUCAAAGAGAGCUACGCGGAUGACACGUUAGGGACAGGAAUUAUAGUAGCUUUAGACGAGGAAGAAGAAUUAUCAGCAAACUUAUCGAAAAAACUUUUCACAGUAAUCAUCUCCAUAGCCACGGCUUCUUCUAUCUCGAAAAGCUUAUUGUCGAAGGUCUUCAAGGUAAUGGUUUGCUUUGAUUCCAUGUUGAUUAAUUCUUAGAAACGAAUUGAAGUGAUUUUUGCGAUUUAUGCUUGGGCAAUUUAUUUA